rnacentral:lncRNA from 1 species
GCAGCUCGGGACAGGCGAGCCCCCAGCCGUACCACUCCUUCAGGAUGACCGUCAUUCCACCUCUUCCACGCCUGGCCACACGCUGACGUCUGUCCCUGGCCUCAGGAGCAGGAGCGAGAUGGGGGAAGGACACCCACCCUGGAGAUCAUUAAAAGCCACUUCUCUGGAAUCUUCCGCCCCAAGUUCUCCAUCCCUCCUCCGCUGCAGCUCGUUCCAGAGGUGCAGAAGCCCCUCCACGAGCAGCUGUGGUACCAUGGGGCUAUCCCUCGGGCAGAGGUAGCUGAGCUGCUAACACACUCCGGGGACUUCCUGGUUCGGGAGAGCCAGGGCAAGCAGGAGUAUGUUCUGUCUGUGCUGUGGGAUGGCCAGCCCCGACACUUCAUCAUCCAAUCCUCAGAUAACCUGUACCGGCUGGAAGGGGACGGCUUUCCCAGCAUCCCUUUGCUCAUCACUCACCUGCUGUCCUCCC